ensembl:snRNA U1 U1 spliceosomal RNA
CCCCUUACCUGGCAGAGGACAUGCCGUGAUCAAAGAAAUAGUUUGCCCAGAGCAAGUACAACCAUUGGAUAACCAUUGUACUCCAGAUGUGCUGACCCCUGAGAUUUCCCCAAACGUGGAAAAUCAACUGCAUAGUUUUUGGUAGUGGUGUACUGCAUGUAUUCAGCUCUCCC